GAACUUCACAUCCUUGGGAAUGGAAUUAGUGAACAGCUUUGGUUUCUUGUACUGCUUAAAUUCCAAAUAUUCUCAAGUCGGUUAGAAACGGGAGUUUAGAUACGCGGAAGGCUCCAAUCUACCGGUUUAACCCUUCGGCCAACAGCUACCCCUAGUGGCUCUGUUGCGGGAAGCAACUUAUCUUGCGCAUACAAACCUCGCCGCCGGUUUCGCCGCGGUUAACAGGUUUAACCAGCGAGGUAACUCCGAGACGAGGUCACCAACUAAGCGUUAACUCCUUUGGUUCCGGAUAACGAGCGGCUAUCCUUCCACGACCACGUGAACGACGUACCAGAACCCGAAGGCCAAAAGGAAAGGCCUCCGUUUCCCAAAGCGGAGAAAGACCGAACCAGGAUCCAAAGCAACACAAGUUCUCCUUCCCUAUGAAGAAGCUUCCCAAUGAUUUUGUCAGAAAAAUUAGACUUACAGCGUACAGGAUAACUUUCCGAAAACCACAGAGUGAGAGGAAUUAGAUAUGGCAGAAGAAGACAACAAAAGAAAUGUGUAAUCUGAAAAUAAGCUAGAUCAAGCCAUUGACUGCAGAGGCGGGGGGAAAAAAAUCCAGAAUGCAUUUCUAUGGAAGAACAUCUAUGAAGAAUAUCAAUGGUUGUCCCAAAGGUGCUUUUCCAAAAAGCAACUGGACUUUUUUGGGGGGGAGGGGUGUGUUGAAAACCCCCUUGAAAACAUUUAGCUUCUCAUGUUGGAAAUGUCAUCAGAUACCUGGAUCAUAUUACCAUAUGUGGUGGACAUGCACAGAAUCUAGAAGAUACUGGACUAAAAUACACACAUGGUUGGAAAAAAAUGAUAAAACAACAUAUAGAUUUAAAACCAGGGAUAUUUUUAUUGGGGAUUUUGCCUGAAGGUUAUAAUAAAGAGAUUACAAAUUUAAUUAUCAAUGUAUUAACAGCAGCUAGAAUUGCAUUUGCACAAAAUUGGAAAAAUGAGAAAAUUCCGACAGAGGAGAAAACGAUUAAGAAAAUAAUGGAAUGUGCGGAAAUGAGUAGAUUAACAAUGGCAAUUACGGAACAGGAAGAAAAAGUACUAUAAGAUUUGGGAUUUAUUCUAUGAAUGGUUAGAUAGAAGAGUUAAAAAUUGAAUAUGGGUUAAUAGUAAUAAAAUACUAUAACUGAUCAUCUUAUGAGUAAGAAUAUGAAUAUUAUUUAGUAAGGAUGAGAUUUGUUUUUGGAAAGAUGAUAUAGAAUUGAAAUUAUAUGGUUAAUGAUAAUACAAUUAUGGAAUAAUAUGAUGUAGAUUGCUAACUAGAAUGGUUUAUGAAUAUAAUCAAAUAAGAAAUGUAUAAUAACAUUACUAUGCGCACAAAAUAUAUGUACCCAGCCGACACACUGUAAAAUUGAAAGAUGCUUAAAAAAAAAAAGUUUCGCUUCUUAUCCAGGAAGCUUUUUUAGUUCAUUCUUCAGAACCAAAGAAGCUUCUGGAAUGAGAAGCGAAACAGUUUCAAGAGGGAAAAACCCAAGUCCAGUUACCUUUUAGAAAAGCACUUUUGGGACAUUUCUAUGGGAGACAGUUGAGCAGCAGCUUGGAAUGUUGCUGUUCCAUUCUAAACUCUCUGGUCAUCCGAUUCUAAGUAAUGCAUACACCUCUUUGGCAUUUGUAAUGCAUCCAUACAUAAACACCUAUGCAACACAAGGCAAAUAUACACACUAAUACAGUAUAUGCCAUAAUUAAUUCAUUGCACAAAAUUUAAAAACAAAAAGAUACUUUCUAUGGUAACUGCUGGUAAAGGUGAUUGUACAUUUCAACUACAUUAUUUUCUGUUUGUUUUGGUUCUACAUGUUUUCCCUUUGUAUCUAUAUAUUAAAGCAUUUUUUCUUAAAUCAU